AAUUCAACAUAUGUCACGUAGACAUGGUGAAGACGACUUGCUGAAGUUAAAACUGAGCAUCAGAAUGCGGAAGAAAGAGAAUUUAAGGGACUUU